AAUCAAGCGCGAGAAGGGCGUUUGGUGGAUGCCUUGGCAGCAAGAGGCGAUGAAGGACGUGAUACUCUGCGAUAAGCGAGGGUGAGCCGAGAAUAGGCUUUGACCCCUCGAUCUCCGAAUGGGGCAACCCACCUGACAGUUUGAUAUAAUUGCCUUAGGGCAGCUUAUAUCUUACUGAAACAGGUACUUUUAACCUGAAUACAUAGGGUUUUAAGAGCAAACCCGGGGAACUGAAACAUCUAAGUACCCGGAGGAAAGGAAAUCAACAGAUACUCCCCUAGUAGUGGCGAGCGAACGGGGACCAGCCGAGCCAUGAGAGUGACCAGAACUGUCUGGAAAGACAGGCCAUAGUGGGUGACAGCCCCGUAUGGGAAGCUCGAUUGGACGUAUUAAGUAGGGCGGGACACGUGAAAUCCUGUCUGAAGAUCGGGGGACCACCCUCGAAGGCUAAGU
rnacentral:rRNA from 1 species